CGAAAGCCUGACGGAGCAAUACCGCGUGAGGGAGGAAGGCUCUUGGGUUGUAAACCUCUUUUCUCAAGGAAGAAGUUCUGACGGUACUUGAGGAAUAAGCAUCGGCUAACUCCGUGCCAGCAGCCGCGGUAAUACGGAGGAUGCAAGCGUUAUCCGGAAUUAUUGGGCGUAAAGCGUCCGCAGGUGGUUACUCAAGUCUGCUGUCAAAGACCAGAGCUUAACUCUGGAAAGGCGGUGGAAACUGAGAAACUAGAGUCCGGUAGGGGUAGCGGGAAUUCCCAGUGUAGCGGUGAAAUGCGUAGAUAUUGGGAAGAACAUCGGUGGCGAAGGCGCGCUACUGGGCCGGAACUGACACUCAGGGACGAAAGCUAGGGGGGCGAAAGGGAUUAGAUACCCCUGUAGUCCUAGCUGUAAACGAUG
rnacentral:rRNA from 1 species